UUUUUUUAUGAAACUAGAUUAUGAAUCUCUUUAGUUUUUAUUUGAUAUUAGCUUUUGGAAUAGCGCUUGUUUAUCUGUCAAGAAGCGAACAUUGCAGUGAUGACAAGUUAGAUGAAUGUUCUAAUACCUGGGUGACAUUUAUUGAUGAGUAUAGUCCAUCUAUGGAGAGUGAACUUAAAGAAAGUGAACUUAAUAUUUACUGUGGGAGAGUUGAAGAAGAUGGCAAAUGCUUAGAGGAUGCUGUUGCUGACUGUAAGAAAGAACAUCCUCUGGUAGCAGCCGCAUUUGCUAGUUUGUUGAAUGUUGUGAAAUGCCAACCAGGGACAGAUCAACGCUCGAUGUAUUUGAAAAUACUUCCAUGUGUUGGAAACCACCUAUCACAGUUUAAAAAAUGUUUACCGAUGAGAGAUAACAAAUACAUUGAAGAUGGAGAUUCAGAAAAUAUGUGCAAGGAAUUGAAAUUAGUACUAUGUUUUGCUGAUGUUAACAGAAAAGUCUGUGGCAAAGAUGGAGAAUUGUUUGCUAAAUUCAUGGAAGAUGGUUUCGGAGAUACAUACAAAGUUGCAUGCAGUGGAGCUUACGCAAUUGUCUUUAAUGUAUUGUUGAUUGCGUGCUCUGUCAUAAUUGGAUUUUAUUUUUAAAAACCUUAUACUACUUACGGAUGUAAAAAGUUUUUUUCUUUCUACUAUUUGUAUAUUGUUUUUUGAAAUGCGUUUUCAAGGUAGAAGAAUUAUAUAACUAAUAUACCAUGAUGCUUUUAGAGUUAAAAAUUUCUUGAUUUCGCAGUUGGAUCAGCUUUUGUAUGUCUAACAACUGGACAAUAAAAUAAGCAUAAUAAAAUAAUAGAGUUGUACUAAAAAUAAAAUAAUAAAGUUUUACAUGUAAUGGUAAUUUUUAUGUUCAUGCUGAGAAAAGUAAACAUCGUACUCCAUUAGCAAGAGCCUCUGUAUUGAUUUCUAACACUAUGGAAAAUCUGAACACUGUAUUUGCAGAGAAUGUUAUAAGAUAUUAUUUGCAUUUACGAAUAGUUUAUGGAAGACAAGUUCUCCAUCGUGCCUAUAUUGUCUUUUCUUAAACUAAAUUAGAUUUUUGCAUAGCAACAACUUUUAAACUGAACGUUUUUUUAUUGCUAGUCAUAAAUGUUUAAUUUUAGAAAUUUUCUCGAUGAUGAAUACAAAAUGUAUAGACAUUAACAAUUGCAAAGCUAUUAAGCGAAGAAAAGUUUUAAAAUGCUUCCGUUAUCGUCAAAUUGGUUUUGAGAUUUUUCCUCGCACCUUCCUCACCGGCGAUUCGACAAAUUUCGUAGUUGCUUAAAUGUUAAUUUUAUUUUAUAUCCAGCUUUGAACAGACGACCCAAUUCCUAGUUUACGACUAUCAAUGUUCAAUUACUUGUUCCCUGUAAUUUUGAAACUAACCCAGAAGGCAGGGGAACUCCUCGAUCAAGAAAUGUGACAAACUAACCUUCAAGAAGAACUUUUUGAUGGAACUAACCAGCAUUUAUGCUUCACACGGAUAAAAGUGCCACAAAACCUCCCACGGUUAGUCCGACUGCAAAAGAAUUCUAAGCCAUGUUUCGUCUACCACUGAGGAUAUUUUACGUUAUCACUGUGGUCACUGAGAGUCGGGAGCCGAGUUCGUAUCAAUCAUCCACAUCAUUGUGAUGCAAACGUUCUAUCCCUUGUUGUGACUUUCAGAUGUCUAUUUUUGACAAGGUUUCUAAAGAGGAUGGUGUUAAAAAGACGAUACUGAUUGAGCACGGUGUCGUGUAUUAAUUGACAAAUAAACGUUGUUUUCAGGUCCCCCCCCCACCCAAAAAUAGAACCCCAUGAAGAACUUAGAGAAUAAAAAUGCCAAUUUAGUUAUAAAGUAAGCGCUUAAAAUUAAAAUUGUUAAGCGGGCAAAAUUAAUAAAAUUCAAAAGAUAUAUCCCCUCUUGUUACAUAAUCAUCAAAAGUUCUUUCCAUUAGAAUAAAAAUAGAGAAUAAUUACGUAUCUUUAGUUUAAUAAACUAAAAUUUUUAGUUGUAUAUGAAAAUUUCACGUCUUGGUUGGAAUACUAAUUUUGAGAAGCAAGAAAACCUGUUGUUAAUAGUUCGGAAAAAAAAGCCAGAUUUAAAUAAAUCUUUUAUUUUAUAAGCAAAUUUUUAAAAGAGUACUCUUUCCUUUUUUUAUGGUUUUCUUAAGGCGAGUCAACUAAUCAUAAAUUGUACUUAUAAUUUUAUUUGACUUUGAAUUAAAUAUACAGAUGACUGAGAUAUUUAUCAAAAUCGAGCUCUUAUUACUGUAUUAGAGGAUAGGAAAUGCUUCCGGAGCUUUUCUAGCGAAAAAGCGGUAAUUUAAUAUAUAUCAAAUAUCAGAUAAGGUUUACGAUGACUUUUUAUGAAAAUAGAUAACAAUGCGUGUCUGUAAUCUUUAUUUGAUAAUAAUUCUUACAAUUGCGUCUGUUUAUCAGUCAAGUAGCGAACAUUGCAACGAAGAAAAGUUAAAGAAAUGUCUUAAUAUCUGGCCAAGAUUGAUGAAUGAGUUUUUUUUAUCUAGUAAGAUUGAACUUAUAAAAAGUGACCUUGAUAUUUACUGUGGGAGAGUUGAAGAAGAUGGCAAAUGCUUAGAAAAUGCUGCUGCUGAUUGUAAGAAAAAAUAUCCUCUGAAAGCAGCCACAUUUGCUAGUUUGUUGAAUAUUCUGAAAUGCCAACCAGGGACAGAUCGACGCCCGAUGUAUUUGAAAAUAGUUCCAUGUAUAGAAAACCACGUAUCACAGUUUGACAAAUGUUUACCGGUUCAAGAUCACAAACACAUUGAAGAUGGAGAUUUAGAAAUUUUAUGCAAGGGACCGAAAAUUUUUCUAUGUACUGCUGAUGCUAGCAGAAAAGUCUGUGGCAAAGAUGGAGAAUUGUUAGCUAAAUCCAUAGAAGAUGAUUUAAAAGAUAUAUACAAAGAUGUAUGCAGUGGAGCUUAUGCAAUUGUCUUUAAUGUAUUGUUGAUUACAUGCUCUGUCAUAAUUGGAUAUUGCUUUUAAAAACCUUAUGCUAUUUACGGAUGUUAAAAAAGUUUUUUCUUACCAUUUGUAUGCUGUUGUUUGAAAUUUGCUUUCAGGAUUGAAAAAUUAUAUAACUUAUAUAACAUGAUGCUUUUAGAGUUAAAAAUUUCCCAAUUUCGCACUUUGAUCAGCUUUUGUAAUGUCUAACAAUAAUGUCUAACAACUCUAACAAUAAUGUAAAUAUAAUAAAAUAAUAGAGUUGUACUAAAAAAUAAAAUAAUAAAGUUUUAUUUGUAAUGGUAA